rnacentral:rRNA from 1 species
CCUACGGGUGGCAGCAGUGGGGAAUAUUGGGCAAUGGGCGCAAGCCUGACCCAGCAACGCCGCGUGAAGGAAGAAGGCCCUCGGGUUGUAAACUUCUUUUAUCAGGGACGAAGCACGUGACGGUACCUGAUGCAUAAGCCACGGCUAACUACGUGCCAGCAGCCGCGGUAAUACGUAGGUGGCAAGCGUUAUCCGGAGUUACUGGGUGUAAGGGCGUGUAGGCGGGAAAGCAAGUCAGAUGUGAACACCCGGGGCGAACACUGUGACCUGCACUUGAAACGGUGUUUCUUGAUGAAUGGAGGGGCAGACGGAGUUCCGGGUGUGGCGGUGAAUGGCGUAGAUAUGAGGAGGAACCCCAGU